AUUGAACGCUGGCGGCAUGCCUUACACAUGCAAGUCGAACGGCAGCGCGGGGCAACCUGGCGGCGAGUGGCGAACGGGUGAGUACUACAUCGGAACGUACCCAGAAGCGGGGGAUAACGUAGCGAAAGUUACGCUAAUACCGCAUACCUCGUACGGACGAAAGUGGGGGACGCAAAGGCCCCAUGCUUUUGGAACGGCUCCUUUCUCGGUCGCUCGUUGGGGAGGUUAAGGCUCACCAAGGCGACGAUCAGUAGCUGGUCAGAGAGGAGAACCAGCCACACUGGAACUGAGACACGGCCCAGACUCCUACGGGAGGGAGCAGUGGGGAAUUGUGGACAAUGGGCGCAAGCCUGGUCCAGCAAUGCCGCGUGAGUGAAGAAGGCCUUCGGGUUGUAAAGCUCUUUUGUCAGGGAAGAAACGGCUGGGGUUGAUACCUUCGGCUAAUGACGGUACCUGAAGAAUAAGCACCGGCUAACUACGUGCCAGCAGCCGCGGUAA
rnacentral:rRNA from 1 species